rnacentral:lncRNA from 1 species
GUGUCUUCUAUAUAAAACUGAAAUCCACAUACUGCAGUUUUAAAAUUGAAAAUAUAAAAAUCACAUGAUGUUAUCUGAUGCCCACAUACAUUCCUUAGGAAUUAGCAUAGAUCAAUAUGUAUACAAAACUAAAGAUCACAUGGCAUAUACAAAACUUCACCAUACUGCAGUUCUUUUUGUCUGAAGCUGUACAUUUUGGUUCUACUUCAUCAGAUAACAUGCAGCCAUAAUUAUUUUUUAAAUUAUUUUCAAACUAUGAAAUGUGCAAAAUUGUUGGGGUACACCCAUGCAUUUUCUCAUAUCUACACGUGAGUAACACAUCACAUGUUUGCAGUCACAUUCAGUUUGAACGUAUGAGAAUUUGACCCAAAGCCUCAGGAUACCUAUGAAAAUUUUCUCGAUAUUGGUAAUAUUUCCUAUGAAUCCACUUUGGCGUAAAACAUUUGAAAAAUGUCUAUGUCUUAAUUAGGUGUUAGUACGAAAUGAUAUUUGCACUUUUGUCAGAUAUUAAGUGAGCAUAGUUUCAUUAUUCGCUUAUCAUUAAGAUCGUGUGGAAUAUUUUCAGGUACUCAACCACCUAGUGCGCAUGGAUGUGAUGACUUCGUAGUCUUAUGUAGCAUUUGGCCGUUUGUAGUAUUUCGGACUAGCCAACUUGUAAUCAUGAAUCUUAUGUGCGUUCUACCAUUUGGUGCUUCAAGUGUUCUGGAGUAGAAAUCUUGUGGUCAUGGAUGUGACUUUUAAGUUUUUUGGACCAUUUCGUGUUUCAACUCUUUUAGAAUAACAAAUAGUGGUCCUUUUAUGUGACUUGUGUUUCUGGAUGGUGGUCAAGAUGGCCAAACUUUGCUUUGUCAAUGUUGUCUUGUUUUUGAACUUGUGAUCAAUAUAUAUGUAUGUUUGUGAACAUAUUAUCAAUGUUUGUGAACAUUUGAGCAUUGUGUAAUAUUUGAACAUGAGCAAUAUCCAAUUGUUGUUUUGGCUGUACACCAUCUUACUAGCAAUUUAUGUGUUGGGAAAAACAUUCCAACUGAGAAAGUGUCGCCAAAGGUAC